rnacentral:rRNA from 1 species
GGGCCCGCACAAGCGGAGGAACAUGUGGUUUAAUUCGAUGAUACGCGAGGAACCUUACCCGGGAUUGAAAUGCAGAGGAAUAUUAAGGAAACUUUUUAGCCGGCAACGGCCUCUGUGUAGGUGCUGCAUGGUUGUCGUCAGCUCGUGCCGUGAGGUGUCGGCUUAAGUGCCAUAACGAGCGCAACCCUGACCGUCAGUUACUAACAGGUAAUGCUGAGGACUCUGGCGGGACUGCCGGCGUAAGCUGUGAGGAAGGUUGGGAUGACGUCAAAUCAGCACGGCCCUUACAUCCGGGGCGACACACGUGUUACAAUGGUGGGACAAAGGGCUGCUACCGGGCGACCGGAUGCCAAUCUCCAAACCCCAUCUCAGUUCGGAUCGGAGUCUGCAACCCGACUCUGUGAAGCUGGAUUCGCUAGUAAUCGCGCAUCAGCCAUGGCG